CUUUCUUUGCUGACGACCGGCGCACGGGUGAGUAACACGUAUCCAACCUGCCCUUUACUCGGGGAUAGCCUUUCGAAAGAGAGAUUAAUACCCGAUAGUAUAAUGAUUCCGCAUGGUUUCAUUAUUAAAGGAUUCCGGUAAAGGAUGGGGAUGCGUUCCAUUAGGUUGUUGGUGAGGUAACGGCUCACCAAGCCUUCGAUGGAUAGGGGUUCUGAGAGGAAGGUCCCCCACAUUGGAACUGAGACACGGUCCAA
rnacentral:rRNA from 1 species